UGUCACUUGGAGUAUAAAAAGCCCAGAAGAAGGUCUUGGUUGAAUCUCUUGAGCUGCUGACGCGUUUGGAGUCGCUGCCUGAACACCAACCAGCAAGAUGACUAAACUGUGCGUCAGUUUGCUUUCAGCUCUGCUGCUGGCUUUUUAUCUCUCAUCCCAGGUGGUUCAGGCAACUUCAAAGAACGUGACCAACAACACCGCCAACAGCAUCAGUGGAAGGACCACAGUCAUCCCGCUGCUCCUGUUCCCUAUGACCUUAGCUUUUGUCUGCCUUCUCGAUUGGUCCAAGUAAAGGACUAACUCCGCCCGUCCUGUCGGGCCAGCUGGAGAGUGGAAGCGAACAUCAGCCUCUUCAACAUGAAGUUCACCUAAAAAGAACUUUCAUCCGUUUUACGCACCAAAUCAGGACGCGCCCUGUUCCCCUCAGCAUGUCCUGAGCCUUGCUAGGUGUUUCAUGAACUAUAUAUCUUUCUUAAUCGGGAGUACACGGCGCCAGUAGUAAUUAGUAAUGUUUAUGGGGGUGGGAGAAAAUGUCAAGCUUUUUCUAUUAAGGAACUAGUUCUGAAAGGCUAAGAUUUGUAUCUAUUUAAAUGUAAAGCAUGAAACUUGUCUGGAAGUUAAUAAAGCCUUAAAAUGUC